rnacentral:misc_RNA from 1 species
UCGCGUCUUACGACGGCAGUUUCACUAGAGUUCCCAGCGUUACCUGAUGGCAACUAGUGAUGGGGGUUGCGCUCGUUGCGGGACUUAACCCAACACCUCACGGCACGAGCUGACGACGGCCAUGCACCACCUGUAUACCGACCUUGCGGGGCGACUGUUUCCAGACGUUUCCCUACAUGUCAAACCCAGGUGAGGUUCUUCGCGUUGCAUCGAAUUAAGCAACAUGCUCCGCCGCUUGUGCGGGCCCCCGUCAAUUCCUUUGAGUUUUAGUCUUGCGACCGUACUCCCCAGGCGGGGCACUUAAUGCGUUAGCUACGGCGCGGAAGGCGUUGAUUACCCCCCACACCUAGUGCCCAACGUUUACGGCGUGGACUAC